AUUUCUAUUUAUGUUGUGUACUUGAGUUCAUUAUUGGGAUUUGAUACAUCAAGUAAAAUUUGACGCUCAAUUUCUUCCCCUAACCUUUCUUUGAUUAAUUGAGCAAUAAAUUUUGCUAUAAAAUGAUAAAUUUUGUUUUGAUAUUUGCAGUGAUCCAAUCUUACAAGGAAAGCAAAUAGGUAGCUAUUUGUACUUGGAUGAUAUUGACAAAAUAGUCAAAUGUGAAGAACUUUUUGGAAGUGCAAUAAAUGCCUACAAGGAAAUCUUAAUGAGAGAAGAGCAACCGAAACCAAAGUUUAGCUGAGUUCGCAAGCAGGAACAAUAUAUAUUUACUACAUCAUGCCACUAUUUGUUCACCACUGAGACAAACAAAUCAAUUGUUGAACACAAUGAUGUUAGAAGCUCUCAAGGAAAGAUAUCUUCUUUUCCCAAUUUUCAACGAAAAGCAUUGGACGUUGUUGGUACUUGAUACUGAAAAUGACUCAUGGCAGUUUUACAAUUCAACGAGACCAACCACAGAAACAGAUAACCAUUUAAAUGAGGCAAACAAAGUGACUUGAUUGUGGUGUCAUAGUUUGUUACCUCAUGAGAGAAUAUGUCUGUAACAAAGACAUCUUCCCUAAUCUAACAAAGGACUAGUGCCAACAAAUCAGAGCAGAUAUCAUAGAUGCUUUGUUGACUGACAAACAGACAGAUACACAACAAAUUAUUGAUGACGCAAUAGAAGCAGUGCUUGAGGACAAAGAUUUUUGGAACAUAAUACACAAUGACAACAAUGAAGUAGAAUAAUUUGAUAGUUGACAAUACUUGAGUAAACACCAACUCCUUUCCAAGUAUAUGGUUGGAAGUAGAAACAAAUAACAGUAUAGUAUUUCAUGGUUUUUGGGAUACAUUUAUCACUGUUGGAACAAAAUGGAAUUAUAAUGAUAUGAUAGUUGACAAUUCUUUCGUGAAUUAUGAACUCCUUUUUCAAG